rnacentral:rRNA from 1 species
AACGAACGCUGGCGGCAUGCCUAACACAUGCAAGUCGAACGAGACCUUCGGGUCUAGUGGCGCACGGGUGCGUAACGCGUGGGAACCUGCCCUUAGGUUCGGAAUAACUCCCCGAAAGGGGUGCUAAUACCGGAUAAUGUCUUCGGACCAAAGAUUUAUCGCCUUUGGAUGGGCCCGCGUUGGAUUAGCUAGUUGGUAGGGUAAAAGCCUACCAAGGCGACGAUCCAUAGCUGGUCUGAGAGGAUGAUCAGCCACACUGGGACUGAGACACGGCCCAGACUCCUACGGGAGGCAGCAGUGGGGAAUAUUGGACAAUGGACGAAAGCCUGAUCCAGCAAUGCCGCGUGAGUGAUGAAGGCCUUAGGGUUGUAAAGCUCUUUACCCGGGAUGAUAAUGACAGUACCGGGAGAAUAAGCUCCGGCUAACUCCGUG